CCUACGGGACGCAGCAGUGAGGAAUAUUGGUCAAUGGACGAGAGUCUGAACCAGCCAAGUAGCGUGCAGGAUGACUGCCCUAUGGGUUGUAAACUUCUUUUACAAAGGAAUAAAAAGAGACACGUGUGUUUUUUUGCAUGUACUCUGUGAAUAAGGAUCGGCUAAUUCCGUGCCAGCAGCCGCGGUAAUACGGAAGAUCCGGGUGUUAUCCGGAUUUAUUGGGUUUAAAGGGAGCGUAGAUGGGUUGUUAAGCGAGUUGUGAAAGUUUGCGGCUCAAC
rnacentral:rRNA from 1 species